GGGCGCGCAGCUCAAUGGGCAGAGCAAGUGACUCUUAAUCACUAGGUUGAAGGUUCGAUUGCUUCCCGCGCUCGCCA
rnacentral:tRNA from 1 species